AAAACAUCCAAGGACCCCCGGCUCUGAUAGAGAAAGGGAAUCGAUGAGCUUUGGACUGAGAGAGGUUUCAUCAUCACUGCCCUGCAUUUGGACCCUGCUUCUCACUGGUGGUCCCAACUAUGCAACUGAGCCAUAAAGGACGUAGCAUUGGGCUGUGACUUCAUCCACCUGUCCCUCCUCAGUGAUUAGUCAACCUUCCACACCUGGGUCUUGUUAACUUCUCCCCUGUCGCCUGUCUGUUCCUACCAGCUCCAGGGACGGAUCUGGUCAGAGAUAAUGAAUUCAAGAGCACAAACCCUGCAUCGCCGCGCCCAGCUCGCUUUCAUCUCUGACAUGGAGCGGAACCGCUGUGACACCAUGCACAGGGGCCACCGGGGGACCACACAGCAGACGCUUAACCAUUCAUCAGUGUGAACAUCUAGUUAUGGUUUGAGAAUGAUAAGUUGUUAUGCUAAACUGCACACUAUCGGCCGUCUGUGUUCGACGUGAUCACGAUUAAAGCCCCACUCCCGCUGCAGCAGAGUGUGUUGUUUACAAGACGUAAAAUGGAACCACAGUAGAAUUCUGUGCCACUUGUCGAUGCUUUUGAAAGUUCAGGUCUUAAGAAUAUAUGAACUGAAGCCAAUCAGACGUCUUUAUGGGCACUUUGGUGCUGCCACAGUGAGUAAGUAGGACAUGACACGAGACCCCACUGGUAAUUGUUGCCAUGCCAGUCAUGUCAAAUGCAUUACUGGGAUUACAGGCUUGGCUACGUGUGUGUGGAUGAAUGCAUACGCUGCCUUUCAUUUUGGCACUUUUCCCUGCGUACGUGUUUGAAUGAGAUCUUCAGGGACUCUGCACCGCUCGUCCCGCCGUAGCUCCCACUGAACGCUUCGCAGGCUGGUGCAUAAAGUUCUCCACUUUGUUUGUUUGCUCUGCUUUGGUGCCAUAAAAACUCUGGGUCGGGAAAUUGGCACCACCCUGUUUACACGCUGAGAGUGCAGCUACACAGAGACGCAAGUCUGGGGAACAAAUGUUAGUCAAUGCCACCUCACCACAGAGGGGCAACCCUGAGACCAGCCAUGGGGAGUGGAGGAGUGGCAGUGCCGGGAUCUGUCCAUGUCCUCCAGUCCACACAGAAAUCUGUGGUUGAACAGUUUGACUAGAUGUUAGAGUGAUCAAAGAUCCAUCAUCUGCUCUGUUUCUUAAUCGGCUUCAGUUAGUGAGUGGUCACAGGAACCUGGGUGGAUGACGGUUUGGAAAAAAAGUAACUGGUUAACGAGGUUUUACUGUAUGUAUUGCUUUGGUCCCCAAAUGAAAGUCAGAGAAAGUUCCGGUCUUUACCUGGAACAACAUAGAUGGAACUAGCUGACCACAGGACAACACUGCUGUUGAUCCACUAAACAGAAUGACAUUAAAUGCACCACAUGGGUGUGAGUUUAUAAAUCAUUAACCUGACUAUUGUGUUUCCACUCCUCACUCUGUCUUACCAUCAUAAUAUAAUAAUAUAAUAAUAAACACUGUCUGUAAACAAUCAUUACAACAUUUGUAUCAUUUACCUACUGUCUGACCAACGAUUGAACGUUUGACUUUUCUCUUGUCGUCUUGACUUUUUUCGAACUGUGAUCGUCGUGGUGUUCCGUCGUAUUUAAGAAGGUCAGUCAUGAUGUAACACCUGGCACAGGUAGAGGACAUGUUGUGUGAAAAGAGAAGACAGACAGAGUCAGUCUGACUGAGGGAACCACAAAGACAGAGAUCUUUAAUACAACCUCCGGCAUUGAAUUUCCUGCCUGAAGGAUCGCCAUCUGGGCCUGAACACCGAGAGGGAGAGAACAGAGAGCUGAAGCCUGGGUCCCUAACAGAGGAAAGGUGGGAGUCCAGCUGGGUCCCAUUAGAGUUUGACCACAAGCGCCUGCGGGGGUGUGGUGGACCAAGGGGGCAGGAGAGAGCAAAGAGGGCAGCGGGGAGGAAGUGCUAAGAGCAAUGGGCCUAGACCUGGUGUAGCUUUAUUAGGCUUGUCGUCUGCUCUCAGUGGGACCACUUACAUCCCCCCUACAACACCCAUCGCCUUACCCUUUACCCCCCACCCCCCUCCUCCAAACCCUCUGCUGCCCCGGAGCACAGUACAGAACAGCAUAAAAACUAGUAGAAAGUAGGUAGGAGAUGGGACUGGACCACCCAGACACACAUGCACAUGCGCUCACACACACCCAUAAUAGCUACCAGGAGGAGGCCUCAGCAUGAGAGCUGUAGCUGGAGAAGGAGCGGGACAUGUUCACACUGAAACAAACACACACACAGUUUCAACCGUCAUCCUUUCAGAUGUCACAAACACAUGUGGAUGCAUUUCUUAAUUCCUCUUUGUUUCUAAACAGAUAAUUAUCCUGUUUUACCGUGGAGUGUUUCCCGCUGCCAAGACCACCUGUGGCUCCUGUUACCACGUGAGGUUGAUGGAGGUGCAGCCACGUGUGUUUGUACGUGUGGAAAAACAAAAAAAGAUUUAUGAGAUUCGCACCAAUACUCCAGUACUGUGCAUGCGUUUCAUUAUCAGUCCUGGCAUAUCAGGCGUCUGCGGUGUAAUCAGCGCCCCCUGCCUCCCUCCCCAUCACCCCCUUCUCGCUCCAUUCAUUCUUACACUGCCUCGAGGGGACUCGUGAGAAAACGCCGCCUGGAAUCUGAGCUCUGACCAACACUGUGAAUGAACGUGUCAGUUUUGUCGGAUGGCGGUGACCAUCCUCGGGGGUAGCAGACGGAUAAUGAGCCUCGUGAUGCAGAGGUUUUGGUCUGGUAUGUCAACAUUAGCAUACAGAGUUCAAAGAGUCUGACUACUGCAGGAAGUCUUCGGUCUGACUGAGGGAUGAGAGGCAGUCUGAGAUGCCCACAGUGUCUGCCUUUCAAAGCUCCUACGUGCCAGCGUGUGCGUUAAAAAUAUGGCAAUUGUUCAAUUCUUUAUAUGAAUAAAAAAUAGAAAAAAUGAAUUUGUUCAAUGACAUAAUGAUAAUUCUUAAAAGUGUGCCCAAAAAUUUAAACAAAUUACAAAUAAAAUAAUAUAACAAUGAUUGCUGUGAGUAUUAUUGUAUGUUUUUGUUAUUAGUGUAAAAAAGCCAUUUCCUAAACUCCUACAACCAUGGCUGGCAUGAAGUGCACAACACUUACAAACUGCUGUUUUCCCCUGAGGUAGUAAAUGUGUCUCUUCUCUCUUACUUCUGUUCCACAACAGGGAACUGCAGCUUAACUUACACGCCUUAAUACUUCAGCCAUUAAAUCAUUACAGUGUUUUAUAUAGUCAGUCCCUGGACUUCUCUCUCUUUCUUUUGUAGAAAAAAAAAUAAUAUUUGUCUUUCCAACUGUACUGUGGACCACAAAGUCCUCAUGUUUUAUUUUAGUUAGAGCAGUAAAACCCUGCUCUUCCUGCCAACCAGCUU